rnacentral:rRNA from 1 species
AGUAAAUAGAUACCCGGGUAGUCCACGCCGUAAACGAUGUCGACUUGGAGGUUGUGCCCUUGAGGCGUGGCUUCCGGAGCUAAACGCGUUAAAGUCGACCGCCUGGGGAGUACGGCCGCAAGGUUAAAACUCAAAUGAAUUGACGGGGCCCGCACAAGCGGUGGAGCAUGUGGUUUAAUUCGAUGCAACGCGAAGAACCUUACCUACUCUUGACAUCCAGAGAACUUAGCAGAGAUGCUUUGGUGCCUUCGGGAACUCUGAGACAGGUGCUGCAUGGCUGUCGUCAGCUCGUGUUGUGAAAUGUUGGGUUAAGUCCCGCAACGAGCGCAACCCUUAUCCUUUGUUGCCAGCGGUUAGGCCGGGAACUCAAAGGAGACUGCCAGUGAUAAACUGGAGGAAGGUGGGGAUGACGUCAAGUCAUCAUGGCCCUUACGAGUAGGGCUACACACGUGCUACAAUGGCGCAUACAAAGAGAAGCGACCUCGCGAGAGCAAGCGGACCUCAUAAAGUGCGUCGUAGUCCGG